rnacentral:rRNA from 1 species
UGGGGAAUAUUCCGCAAUGGACGAAAGUCUGACGGAGCAACGCCGCGUGAGUGAUGAAGGUUUUCGGACUGUAAAGCUCUGUUGUUUAGGACGAAAGUGCCUGUUGCGAACAGUUACAGGUAUUGACGGUACUAAACGAGGAAGCCACGGCUAACUACGUGCCAGCAGCCGCGGUAAUACGUAGGUGGCAAGCGUUGUCCGGAAUUAUUGGGCGUAAAGAGCAUGUAGGCGGAGAUUUAAGUCUGUUGUGAAAAUGCGGGGCUCAACCCCGUAUUGCGAUGGAAACUGGAUGUCUUGAGUGCAGGAGAGGAAAGGGGAAUUCCCAGUGUAGCGGUGAAAUGCGUAGAUAUUGGGAGGAACACCAGUGGCGAAGGCGCCUUUCUGGACUGUGUCUGACGCUGAGAUGCGAAAGCCAGGG